rnacentral:rRNA from 1 species
CCUACGGGCGGCUGCAGUGGGGAAUAUUGGACAAUGGGGGGAACCCUGAUCCAGCCAUGCCGCGUGUGUGAAGAAGGCCCUCGGGUUGUAAAGCACUUUCAGUGAGGAAGAACGCCUGGUGGUUAAUACCCAUCAGGAAAGACAUCACUCACAGAAGAAGCACCGGCUAACUCCGUGCCAGCAGCCGCGGUAAUACGGAGGGUGCGAGCGUUAAUCGGAAUUACUGGGCGUAAAGCGCGCGUAGGUGGCUUGAUAAGCCGGUUGUGAAAGCCCCGGGCUCAGCCUGGGAACGGCAUCCGGAACUGUCAAGCUAGAGUGCAGGAGAGGAAGGUAGAAUUCCCGGUGUAGCGGUGAAAUGCGUAGAGAUCGGGAGGAAUACCAGUGGCGAAGGCGGCCUUCUGGACUGACACUGACACUGAGGUGCGAAAGCGUGGGUAGCAAACAGGAUUAGAUACCCUGGUAGUC